rfam:Pan troglodytes isolate Yerkes chimp pedigree #C0471 (Clint) chromosome 6, whole genome shotgun sequence.
GCCGGGCAUGGUGGUGUGAGCCUGUAGUUCUAGCUACUUGGGAGGCUGAGGUGGGAGGAUCACUCGAGCCCAGGAGUUCAAGUCUGUAGUGAGCUAUGAUCGUGCUUGUGCACUCCAGCCUGGGCAACAGAGUGAGACCCUGCCUCCA